AGCAGUAGCCGCGGUAAUACGAAGGGUGCAAGCGUUGUCCGGAUUUAUUGGGCGUAAAGCGAGCGCAGGCGGUUAGAUAAGUCUGAAGUUAAAGGCUGUGGCUUAACCAUAGUACGCUUUGGAAACUGUUUAACUUGAGUGCAAGAGGGGAGAGUGGAUUUCCAUGUGUAGCGGUGAAAUGCGUAGAUAUAUGGAGGAACACCGGUGGCGAAAGCGGCUCUCUGGCUUGUAACUGACGCUGAGGCUCGAAAGCGUGGGGAGCAAACAGGAUUAGAUACCCCGGUAGUCCCUGUCUCUUAUACA
rnacentral:rRNA from 1 species